rnacentral:rRNA from 1 species
AAUGAACGUUGGCGGCGUGGAUUAGGCAUGCAAGUCGAGCGCGAACCCCGCAAGGGGUGAAAGCGGCGAAAGGGAGAGUAACGCGUGGAAAUCUACCCUCGGGACCGGGAUAGCUGCGGGAAACUGCAGGUAAUACCGGAUAACAUCUACGGAUCAAAGGUGUAAUUCCGCCUGGGGAUGAGUCCGCGUCCUAUUAGCUAGUUGGUGGGGUAAUGGCCUACCAAGGCAAUGAUGGGUACNGGGUGUGAGAGCACGACCCGGCUCACUGGGACUGAGACACUGCCCAGACACCUACGGGUGGCUGCAGUCGAGGAUCUUCGGGCAAUGGGCGCAAGCCUGACCGAGCGACGCCGCGUGC